rnacentral:rRNA from 1 species
ACCACUGGUGUACGGGUUGUGAUGCCAAUUGCAUUGCCCGGUAGCUAAGUGCGGAAGAGAUAACCGCUGAAAGCAUCUAAGCGGGAAACUUGCCUCGAGAUGAGUCUUCCCUGAUUCUUUAAGAAUCCUGAAGGAACGUUUGAGACUAAGACGUUGAUAGGCUGGGUGUGUAAGCGCAGCGAUGCGUUGAGCUGACCAGUACUAAUGAACCGAGAGGCUUAACCUGACAACACCGAAGGUGUUU